AACCUUGAAAUAUAAUACACGGUGCAUGACAAUUAAGGGGUUGUAACCAAACGAAGAGUUUAUUGCACGCGGCUAUAAAAGGAGACUAGGGUUUUUUGGGUAGGGCACGGAGUGUGCGAAGAACAAGGAGAACAGAAAGAGAACUAGAAGAAUUUCACAGCCAAAGAUGAGGCGUCUUUCUGAAACUGCAAAAACGUGGCUUGCGGUAAUUCCAGUCGCUAUUGCUGCAGCUUAUGUCGGCCGUCGUGCUGCCGAGUUGCACAACCAGGAAAUUGAGAAUUGGAUGGCAAUAGAGGCAAUAAAUUGGCACGUCCAGGAACUUAAGCAAUGGCAAAUGGAACGGCAAAUGGAACGCAAGAGUAACAGGGCAAAUACAGUUCGCGGAGAUGCAGUUGGUUCGAAGGAUGGAAUUUAGAGCAUGCAGUACUCUUUCAUUCUGUUCUGAAUGAAAAUACAUUAAUUUUCUUCUGUAUCAAAUGCGAAACUUGUCAAAUAUCGAGGCAUCAUAGUGGGUUCUCUCAUUGUUAUGGAAGUGCCUAUGCAUUGUUUGAGCACUCUCAGAUUGCAAUAGUGCAUCAAACAAUAUACCAAGGAUGAGUCAAACUGACUUCACUGUUCUUAAUGAGACUUCUAUUGUUAUUAUUCGGUUCUCUCUUAACGGCUAAUUUACAUGUAUUGUAUAAAGCUUUCACUACUAUUAGUAAAGGUGUUUCCUUUUGAGACA